rnacentral:rRNA from 1 species
AUUGAACGCUGGCGGCAGGCCUAACACAUGCAAGUCGAGCGGUAACACAGGGAGCUUGCUCCUGGGUGACGAGCGGCGGACGGGUGAGUAAUGUCUGGGAAACUGCCUGAUGGAGGGGGAUAACUACGGGAAACGGUAGCUAAUACCGCAUAACGUCGCAAGACCAAAGAGGGGGACCUUCGGGCCUCUUGCCCUCAGAUGUGCCCAGAUGGGAUUAGCUAGUAGGUGGGUGAACGGCUCACCUAGGCGACGAUCCCUAGCUGGUCUGAGAGGAUGACCAGCCACACUGGAACUGAGACACGGUCCAGACUCCUACGGGAGGCAGCAGUGGGGAAUAUUGCACAAUGGGCGCAAGCCUGAUGCAGCCAUGCCGCGUGUAUGAAGAAGGCCUUCGGGUUGUAAAGUACUUUCAGCGAGGAGGAAGGCAUUGUGGUUAAUAACCACAGUGAUUGACGUUACUCGCAGAAGAAGCACCGGCUAACUCCGUGCCAGCCGCCGCAGUAA